rnacentral:rRNA from 1 species
CCUACGGGUGGCAGCAGUGAGGAAUAUUGGUCAAUGGACGAGAGUCUGAACCAGCCAAGUCGCGUGAAGGAUGACUGCCCUAUGGGUUGUAAACCUCUUUUAUAAAGGAAUAAAACGAGGCACGUGUGCCUUUUUGUAUGUACUUUAUGAAUAAGGAUCGGCUAACUCCGUGCCAGCAGCCGCGGUAAUACGGAGGAUCCGAGCGUUAUCCGGAUUUAUUGGGUUUAAAGGAGCGUAGAUGGGUUGUUAAGUCAGUUGUGAAAGUUUGCGGCUCAACCAUAAAAUUGCAGUUGAUACUGGGAGUCUUGAGUACAGUUGAGGUAGGCGGAAUUCGUGGUGUAGCGGUGAAAUGCUUAGAUAUCACGAAGAACCCCGAUUGCGAAGGCAGCUUACUAAGCUGUGACUGACACUGAUGCUCGAAAGUGUGGGGAUCAAACAGGAUUAGAUACCCUUGUAGUC